GGAUCGAUUCCGGUUGAUCCUGCCGGCGGCCACCGCUAUUGGAAUCCGAUUAAGACAUGCGAGUCGAGAGUCUUCGGGACUCGGCAGACUGCUCAGUAACACGUGGAUAACAUGCCCUUAGGUGGGGGAUAACCUCGGGAAA
rnacentral:rRNA from 1 species